CCUCUGAUUGAUCACCUGAGGCGAGCAGCGAGUCAGCCACGGGAGCACAGGUGGAGGCAAUUAACUGUGCUGCCAGAAGGGGUGCAGCCUGGCUCCACCUCUCCUAGAGCCAUUUAAGGGCUGACCAGCAGUGGGGAAGGAUCUCUUUUGGAGCUCCUCUCCACCAGGGUUUCCUAAGCGGGCCUACGAUGUGGAGAACUGCACCUCAUCCUUCUCCUGCAACUGAGUUUACCAAAUCUGAGUGAAGAAAUACGAAUGCGAGAGAAAAAGAAAUGCUGAUCUCUCCUUGGAGUCUUCGGAGUUUUUGAGCCUGUCCCUCCUCAAGAUGUUGUCUGGCAUCUCCUUUAUCUUGACAAGUGGAGCUUCAGGAUUUGGAAUGUUUCCCUUGAAUGAUCCAAGCAGUAGUACUUACAGAGAUAUUGAAGGUCCAUCGGCAUGUCACCAGUAACACAAUAGAAACCUUCUAGUUGUGAGGAAAAUUGGGUUUAACGAGGUGCUGUUUUAGCUGGUGAGGAAAGGAAUAUAACCAUCAUCUUGGAGCAAAGUACCAUUUGGAGCAUUGAGAUGUCUGAAAAAUGGCAGUAGACCGUGCUGGAUUAUAAAUGGCUAGUGGUAAUUCUGCUUCCCAUUCAGGUACUCUGUAGUCUUACUCGGUAGAA